rnacentral:rRNA from 1 species
AUUGAACGCUGGCGGAAUGCUUUACACAUGCAAGUCGAGCGGCAGCGCGGGGGCAACCCUGGCGGCGAGCGGCGAACGGGUGAGUAAUACAUCGGAACAUGUCCAGUCGUGGGGGAUAGCCCGGCGAAAGCCGGAUUAAUACCGCAUGAGCUCGAGAGAGGAAAGCGGGGACCGUAAGGCCUCGCGCGACUGGGUUGGCCGAUGUCCGAUUAGCUAGUUGGUGGGGUAAAGGCCACCAAGGCGAUGAUCGGUAGCUGGUCUGAGAGGAUGAUCAGCCACACUGGGACUGAGACACGGCCCAGACUCCUACGGGAGCAGCAGUGGGGAAUUUUGGACAAUGGGGGAAACCCUGAUCCCGCCAUUCCGCGUGAGUGAAGAAGGCCU